rnacentral:rRNA from 1 species
UACGUAGGGGGCAAGCGUUGUCCGGAUUCAUUGGGCGUAAAGAGCGUGUAGGCGGCCAGGUAGGUCGGUUGUGAAAACUGGAGGCUCAACCUUCAGAGGUCGACCGAAACCAUCUGGCUAGAGUCCGGGAGAGGAGAGUGGAAUUCCAGGUGUAGCGGUGAAAUGCGUAGAUAUCAGGAGGAACACCGGUGGCGAAGGCGGUUCUCUGGGCAUGUCCUGACGCUGAGGAGCGAAAGUGUGGGGAGCGAACAGG